rnacentral:lncRNA from 1 species
AAGCUGCUGGAUCAAACUGAUGUCCCAUCUAGUCCAGCAUCCUGUUCUCACAGUGGCCAGCCUGUGGGUAACACACAAGUAGGACUUGAACACAACAGUACUUUUGUCCUAACCCACCAACACAUGCCUCUAGCCUCUAGCCACUAAUUAACUGUCUGCCAAAGAUCUGCGCCCUAUGGAGAAGUUGCAGUGACAGUGAGACCCCACCCCUCUGUCAGCUUAUAUACCCUGCCCUGAUGCGUUGUGUGCCUGCAACCUGAGACUUCUCCUGCAUGGAAGUCAUCGCUGCUCUUCCCGCUUCAAGCCCCUCCUGGUUGUAGGAGACAGUGGUGCAAGGGAAACUGGGGAAUCUACUGACCCAUCUGUCACCUGAACAGCCUCUUUUUCUUCCAUCAUAUCCUGAAUGCUUUCUUCCUUCUCAGACUGCUCUGCCUCUCCUUCUGCCCCUCUGCCCUGCCUCUUGCCUUAUGGGCAGUGUCAAACCCCAUAAAUCUCUAGUACCAUCUAUUGGGUCACUCUGCCUCUGCCACACACCCUUUGGAGCCCUGCCAGUCCUUGACAACUUUCACUUUCUGUGGUUUCCAGCAACUGGUAUUCAGAAGCAUAUUGCCUCCAACAGUGGCAGUAAUUUAGCUAUUACUGAUAGCCUUAUCCUUCAUUAAUAAGUUGGCUAAAAUAUAAGAAGCAUUUAGAAAAUUAGAAACAUCUACAUUCUGUGUGAUAACCUAAGCACUUCCAUUCAUAAUUAAAUGAAAAAUAAUGCAUAUACCAUUCUAUUCUUUAUUUUUUAUCCAUAUUCCAUUAUAUCUAUGUUACAUCUUGAAUGUACAACAUGCUGUGUACAUGCUAUGUAAGUGAACAGGGGGGAAAUUUAAGGCCUGCUCUCUACAUGAUUUUUUCUUCAUUGGUGUUGACUCUUGUGAAACUUUAUUAUGUGAACUUUAUCCUAGGGGCACAUAAGGUUGUGGAAUAGUAAGCAGCUCAUAAGCAAUGAUGUUCUGAUUUUACUAGUUAAUAAUGAUGACAGUCACAUUUUUUAUCUCUCCGUCAUUAAACCAUAAUUUUAAAUGCUCCAUUUGAGAAACAGGCCUCCCACUCAGUAGAGCAUUGCAGAAUUACGGCGUGUGCCAUGAACCACUGUGACCCUCUGGCAAAAGCAGCCAUAACCUCAUCAGAGCUUCUUAGAAGAGACUAUUAAAGGUGCUAAUGGGAACAAGGUAUUUAAAUUCAUGACUCAGAGAGGAUUAUCUAGAGUGAGUUGUUUUACACUGAUGCCUGAGUUCCUCUGAGUGUCUCAGAAGGAUGAGAAUAAACAGUGGAAGGGGUGGGGGAGAGAAGCAAUCAUUUUGGAUGACUUUGCUUCUUCACCUUUAGAGAAUAUUUACAUUAAUCAACCUCCAGGCCAGUGAAACAUUUAACACCUGAGAAUCUCUGUGCUGUUUUGCCUCCUGUGAUGGUAAUUUAAGAUAAUGUGGAUGCUGCUGAUCUAGCUAAACUUAGAAUUCUUGACUAGCUCCAUUUGAAAGCAAGAUGGACACUGCCUUUGAUCUUCUUCUAGCUUUCUAUCACCUUGGUUGAUAUGGAGAUUAUUGGAGGUUGGCAUCCAUCUGGCUUGAGAGUCAAUGGAGUGUGCCUCUGGGGGGGUGGAGUCAAACUGCUGUGUUUGUGACAUCAAAGUGACCUCCCUGGGGCGCAAGUGUGGGCAGUGUGUAUGGAGGUCUUGGGCUGCCCAAAUGACAACACCUCUUGGCCUCACUGAUGUGGCCCAAGGGAAAGCAGAGCAAUAUGUUUGGCACCAGCUUGGCUGCAGGAGUUGCCAUAAGGAGGCAUACAAGGCACCAUCCAACUAUGUUAGGGACUCCACUCAGGAUUUGUGUAGGGUUUACUCCUUAGCCUUUUCUUCUCCCAAACAUAUCCCACAGGGCAGUAGAGGUUUAGGACCAGAGUUUACCUUCUUCUGGUUGGGCUACCUUUGCAAGUUGAUGAGCCCCAUCUGCCCCUCACUUCCCUCUACAGCAUGUGCAGAAACUACUUUCUUUAUCACUGGACCCACUAUUGGUCUCAUCCACUCAAUCUGCCAGAGCCACUCUUCACAUACAAGGGAAGUCCCUAACAGGGCUGUCUUAAGCAUAUCCAGUGCCGUGGUGCAAAGCUCCCUCCGGUGCCCCCCCCCCUGCACUGCGGGCAGGCCUGGAGGAGGUGGGCAGUGGCUGGAGGGCAGCUCCUCCAAAGGGGAAGAGGCGGAGGCUGGACGCAGCACCUCCUGGCUCAGCUGGAUGCUUUGUGCCACAGUGCCCGUGGCAGAUGGAGGCUCCGGGCACAGCGCUGCUUCAGUGCAGCAUGGUGGAGGUGGGUGAGGAUGGUGAGCUGAUGCCAGGAGGUGCCCCAUCCAGCCUCUGCCUCUUCCCUGGUGCCCUCCAGAACUUGGCGCCCUGGCACCCCGCACCACUAGCCUCUAUGGGUAAGAUGCCCCUGGUCCCUAACUCACUGAGGGUUUAAGACACAUGGGCUAUCCUCACCUGAUUUAGCCAGCCAGUGAAAACCAUUCCCGGGGUGUGGCCACUGUCACACGCCAACAGCAUCUGGGAGCCACAGCUGAGAACUGAAUGCAGGGUUGGAACCAAAGGUGGACAAAUUACCCCAGAAGGAACUUGAAGCAGACUGUCUCAUGUUUCCCCCCAGCUUGUGGUCUAAAGGAGGGAAGAGACUGGGCUCUGAACCUGAGUGCAUGCCCUGAGAGUGCAAUCUGCUCUUCCAAAGAUCUUGUAAUCUGCAAGGGGGGAAAUGCCACUUUAUAACUGUAAGGUUCCUGCCAGAGCAUGAUUAGCAACAGUGGAUAUGAUGCUUCCUGGCCCAAUCUACCCCAUAAGAACCCUUUAACCAGAGGGGACAGGACGGCAGAUCAUGACUGAGCUGCCUAAUCACUUUGUGACUCCACUACACCACUAACAUUAGUAUAGUAUUAGGGACAAUCCAUCCUAAAGACAUCUGUGCACUUUUAUAGCCACUGAGGAUCUAACCCAUUAAAUCUUGCAGUUUAUGUUUCUCAAUGGCCAGUUCUACAAUAGUUAUAAGAAGGAGAUUCAUAUUUCUCAGCCUGCCAGAAAGCCAAGCGCACACUACUUCUGGUAGUAGCUAAGGGUGGUUAUUUUCCCACUGUUAGGUUUUUAAUCACUGUCAGCCUAGCACCGUGGUCCAAACAGACAUAUAAAUAAAAACAUGGGAAGAAACUGUGUUUCCGUUUAUCACUUGUGAUAAGACAGUCUUGUGUGUCUUUGACACUUGGCUUCCUCUUCUUGCCAUCCUAAUAAGUAAAAUAAUAUGGCACAGAAAGCAAUUUGCAAACAAACCUUCACUGCAUUUGACUAAAUCGUCAUUGACAGCGCAGGGUUAGGGGGAGUUCUUUUACUCAAUAAGUGGCUGUAUACACACAUACACAAAUGCAUACAAAUGAUUGCAGCUGUUGUUAUCACAACUUUGGAAUAAAUGCAGAUGGCAUGAAAUAAUAUUUGAAAGCAGCUAAUAGAAUUUUAAUGGCCUUUGAAAGAAAAUAAAAGGAAAAAGAAUUGCUUUUGCAAGGGAUGUGAAAGGUAUAUAUGUAUACCAUUGCAAUGUGAACAAAAAAGAUGUUCUGGUUCUUACAUUUGCAGAUUUCUGCAGGCAGAUCCCAUGCACUCAUUAUUUAUGUGUAGGCUAAAUAGCAACUGCAAUCUACAAAAUAUUCAAUGUGUCUGCCUAAAGUGGGAAGUUUGCAUUAUGCAAAUGCCAUGUAUGAUGAAUGAAAUGCACCAAACAUCUUGAGAAGUCACAGAUGUUAAGCAUGCCGGAAACAUGGAAAGAAGCAAGGACUGCAAGUUAAUUGAUUUCCAUGUUACAACAGUUGAAAUACAAGCAAUCAGGCAGCAAUGCACAUUGUUAAUGUUAACUUUCCUACUAAUUUUAAAAGGCUAUGCAUCACCUCCGACCAGAUUUGUUGGGGAGCAAAUCAACAGAAGAAGUUGUUAUUACAUAUUUCUAAUGAGGAAUUAGCUUUAUAUGUGGUAUUCAUUCGGGUGUGUGAAUAGGAAUAGAAAAUAAACCCAGAUGCAAUGGCAGCAUUCAGAAGCUUAAUUUACAGGAGUAGCACUGUGUAGACAGUGCAAAAAUCUGCCCAUUCCCACAGACAUUUGCACUGCCCGUGUGGACAAACCUCUCCAGAACUCUUGAGAACUUACUCAGAACACAAUGAUGGAAGCUCAGGUUGAACACACAAACAUCACAAAUGAGAAAAGAUUUAACUGAGUCCAAGAGUAGUGUAGUUAAUAAACAGAGUCAUGAAGCUAUUAAUUAGAGGAUGAAUGCUUCCUUCAGAAAACAGAAGGCUUACCCAAACAAGGUGUAUAAGAAAGAAGCACAAACUUUAGCAAAAAAAAUUGCAAAUGGACACUGAAUUAAUUAAUUAAUUAAUUAAUUAAUGAUGCUAAAAACAUUAAGACCCACAAAAAUGAUGAUGAUGAUGAUACUACCUUUAACUACCCCAAUCGUUAAAAAACACAGCUUUCAGUACGCAGGGGACUUGGUUGGCUCAUUGGACAGCAAGGGGAUUAAAGGUGUUCUGAAGAAAGACAAGGCAGAGAAGCUG